rnacentral:rRNA from 1 species
CUACGGGUCGCAGCAGUAAGGAAUAUUGGUCAAUGGGCGAAAGCCUGAACCAGCCAUGCCGCGUGAGUGAAGACGGCCUUCGGGUUGUAAAACUCUUUUCUAAGGGAAGAACCAGCAGGACAGGAAAUGGUCCCGCUCUGACGGUACCUUAGGAAUAAGGAACGGCUAACUCCGUGCCAGCAGCCGCGGUAAUACGGAGGUUCCAAGCGUUGUUCGGAUUGACUGGGCGUAAAGGGAGCGCAGGCGGAAGGGUCAGUCUGAAGUGGAAUCCCGGGGCUCAACCUCGGACGUGCUUUGGAUACUGCCCUUCUUGAGUCCGUGAGAGGAAAGCGGAAUUCAGGGUGUAGCGGUGAAAUGCUUAGAUAUCCUGAGGAACACCAAUGGCGAAAGCAGCUUUCUGGCACGUGACUGACGCUGAGGCUCGAAAGCGUGGGGAGCGAACGGGAUUAGAUACCCGGGUAGUC